CACUUGGAAAUUUCUGCAUUUCAAGAAAAGGAAGAAAAUUCCCUCCAGUAUGGAACUGCUUAGAUUUCACUGGCAGUCUUUCAGUGUUUCUGUCAGUGCUUUGUCUCCUGAGAAGGAUCUGAACCCUGACCCCAGCAGCGCUUUGAAGUCUUCCCUGGCAGACAAAGAUGAAGCUUGAGGUGAGAGAAAGAGCAGGACAUCAAGGCUGUUAUAGCCUGUCAAAGUCAGAGUGCAGAACCACCCCACUGGCAUCCGCAGGUACAGAACACACACCGCCAGCUCCCCAAAACUCAGCAGGCAGCUUCAUUGGCCAAGACCUAAUC